GUUCGUACCCGGUCCGGGUCGGCUGGGCUGCCCGCCGCUCCGCGCGCCCGGGCGGUCGCAGGUCGCGCCUGCUUUGGCCCCGGCGGGUUCGGCAUCCGAGCCUGGCAGGGGCCAAUAGAAAGUUUCCUACACUACUGAGGUUUAGGGGCACUGUGAAGCAAAAGCCACGCCUCAGAAUCCCAGGCGGAGACUCCGACCUCGUCCCGGGAGGGAAGCCAGUAGCUGAGCACCUGCGGGAGAUUAAAGAGAGGAAUAAGGAGGUGAGUACAUGACAAAGAGCCACAGUCGCAGGCGGUGGGGCCUGGCUCAGAACAGGCUGUGCUGGGAAGCGGGAGCAGGAGCUGGCGCCGCCUUGCGGGCUGGCAGAGGACCAUCCACUCCCUGGCGCUGGGGCCGUCCCAUCUCAUGGGCAAGAAACGUGAGACCCCUGGCUCGCUCCACACACAACCUAAGUGCCAGAUGGAUGAGACGCCUACGCGUGAGUAAAUGCCAGGAACAUGAGACUCGAACGUGGCAGGAUAUCCUUCUGCCCACGAAUCUAAAAGCUUACUCGGUAAUGGGAGAAUGGUUCCAAUUUGAUAAACUCGGGUUUUUGGAACGUCUGUGCUCCAGAAACACUGGAAGGCAAGUGGCUGCUGACUGGAGGAGAUAAUUGGAUGCUGCAAGCGGCAAAGGGCUCGGGAUGCAAAACACCGCAAGAAAUGCAACAAGUGAGGAGCAUUCCCGCAAAGAAAAAACGCACAGGCCGAGAGCAGUGGCUCACGCCUGUAAUCCCAGCAGUUUGGGAGGCCGAGGCAGGUGCAUCGCUUGAGGACAGGAGUUCGAGACUAGGCUGGCCAACAUGGUGAAACCCCAUCUCUACUAAAAAUACAAAAAAAAAAAAAAA